CUUCCGUAGGGUGACCUGCGGAAGGAUCAUUACCUAGAGUUUGUAGACUUCGGUCUGCUACCUCUUACCCAUGUCUUUUGAGUACCUUCGUUUCCUCGGCGGGUCCGCCCGCCGAUUGGACAACAUUCAAACCCUUUGCAGUUGCAAUCAGCGUCUGAAAAAACAUAAUAGUUACAACUUUCAACAACGGAUCUCUUGGUUCUGGCAUCGAUGAAGAACGCAGCGAAAUGCGAUAAGUAGUGUGAAUUGCAGAAUUCAGUGAAUCAUCGAAUCUUUGAACGCACAUUGCGCCCCUUGGUAUUCCAUGGGGCAUGCCUGUUCGAGCGUCAUUUGUACCUUCAAGCUCUGCUUGGUGUUGGGUGUUUGUCUCGCCUCUGCGUGUAGACUCGCCUUAAAACAAUUGGCAGCCGGCGUAUUGAUUUCGGAGCGCAGUACAUCUCGCGCUUUGCACUCAUAACGACGACGUCCAAAAGUACAUUUUUACACUCUUGACCUCGGAUCAGGUAGGGAUACCCGCUGAACUUAAGCAUAUCAAUAAGCGGAGGAA
rnacentral:rRNA from 1 species